rnacentral:lncRNA from 1 species
CCUGCGGGACUGACAUCAGAAAAUAUUUCCAUACACCAAAUAUAGUUGACCUAUUAAUAUAGUAUUAGAAAAAAAGACCAAAACUCAAAAACUUAACUUUGACCACUGAACCAUGAAAAUGGGGUCAAGGUCAGAUGACACCUGCCAGUUGGACAUGUACACCUCACAGUCCUUCCAUACACCGAAUAUAUACUAGACCUAUUGCUUAUAGUAUCUGAGAUAUGG